GGGUGGGUUAUGAAAGGUUUUGUGAAUGCAGAUGAAUUAAUUUAAAACCUAAAAUUUAAGCACAACCGAACAUAAUUGAAAGCAUUGAAGUAAAUGAAAAUUGUAAAGCAACAGUCUGAUAUCAAACAGAUUAAAAAUCGCAGCUUGCGUCAACUUGGAAACAAUUGAUAAAUAAGAAAAUCUUGCGUUUGAAAUAAAAGAAGCUACGCUUUCAGCAUACAUGGACAAAAUUAUAUGCACCUAAAUCUAAUGAAUCUAUC
rnacentral:lncRNA from 1 species